CCCCAUGUGACCCCCACAUUCGUCUAGCUAUAGGCUCAACAACCUUGAAAGGAAGAGAAGACUGAAGAAAAUACCCAACUAAGCUUGAUGCCCAAAGCUUGUUACCCCGGUUGAGCAUGUCGUCUGGAGGACAUACUGUGAUGUUCCCAUAAGAUAAAGAAGGGGGGUGGUAAGAUAAGGUUCGAGAGGAUUUGCCAGAGUCUUUG
rnacentral:lncRNA from 1 species